AUUUACGUAUUUUUAUUGUGACUCAUCACCACCUGAGUAAACUAUAUUUCACUGAAUUUCGACUGUUCUCUAUACAGCGUAGCCUGCUGAUGAUAAGGUCAGGCUGUUAUAGGACUUACAAGUUAGAUCAGUUCCUUCUUUUGACUAUGAAUUUGUUUGCUGUUUUGCUUUCUGUUUGCAGCCAAAAUGACCGCCUUUCUUUGCAAUUGCUAUUCUGAAUAAAAGCUUUGACAUUUCCCAUAUUCUCUCCUUCUCUCUCCCAGUUCAAGUUGAUGAAGGAAGAGAGCAAGAACUCUACUAUUAUACUUCUUUUCUAAUGUAGCUGCAUGAAACUUGAUUCAGUAACUCCUUGGAGCUUGAUACCAAUGACAAAUAAGCUCAUCUGAAGCUCAUUAUCAAUACCAGUUUCCACCUGGUCUGGAUAACUAAAGAUUCCUGAAAUUGCAGACCUACUCAUAGCAUCUUCUACCCUAAAUAUCCUGAAUGGGUUAAUAAUUGUCUUGCUAAAAUACUGAGAGGAGCAGAACUGAUGAAGACUCAAAUACUUGGAUUCUGUGCUAUUGAAUCAGGCUGAAGCGAUGCCAAGAGGAAACAUCAAGACAUCAAAAUAAAUGCUGUAUGCGUUCUUAAAAUACAAGAAAUCAAGUGAGAUUUUGGAGCCAUAAAAUUAGAAGGGUUAAGGUUUGGAAGGGCACUGCCCAGAGCAUCAGCUGCUGUGCGCUGAGAGGAAGCAUGAGGACCCUGUGGGUGCCCAAAGAGGCUUUUGUGUCCAGAUCUGUGUUAAAGAUAAAUGAAAUCUUCUACAGUGAAGAACUGCAAGAGUUAGACAAGUUCUGUGAUUAUUAUUCUGCUAGUUUUGCUGUUAGAUAUUCCUGGCUUAGUGUCGCUUUCCAGAGCAAAAUGGAAGCCUGAAACUUAUGGAUAUGCAAUCUUGCUGCUCUUCACUUGGAUUGAAAGUGAGAAAGAAAUAGUCACUAUUUUGAAAAAGAAAUGGAGUGACUGAAAAUCUAACUGAUAGACAAAGCCAAU
rnacentral:lncRNA from 1 species